rnacentral:rRNA from 1 species
UGGGGAAUAUUGGACAAUGGGCGCAAGCCUGAUCCAGCCAUGCCGCGUGUGUGAAGAAGGCCUUUUGGUUGUAAAGCACUUUAAGCGAGGAGGAGGCUACUUGGAUUAAUACUCUAGGAUAGUGGACGUUACUCGCAGAAUAAGCACCGGCUAACUCUGUGCCAGCAGCCGCGGUAAUACAGAGGGUGCGAGCGUUAAUCGGAUUUACUGGGCGUAAAGCGUGCGUAGGCGGCUUCUUAAGUCGGAUGUGAAAUCCCUGAGCUUAACUUAGGAAUUGCAUUCGAUACUGGGAAGCUAGAGUAUGGGAGAGGAUGGUAGAAUUCCAGGUGUAGCGGUGAAAUGCGUAGGAAUCUGGAGGAAUACCGAUGGCGAAGGCAGCCAUCUGGCCUAAUACUGACGCUGAGGUACGAAAGCAUGGGGAGCAAACAGG